rnacentral:pre_miRNA from 1 species
UUUUUAGUAUAAGUAUGUCCCAUGCAAUAUUUGGAAGAUAUUUUUACUGAAA